rnacentral:rRNA from 1 species
CCUACGGGGCGCAGCAGUGGGGGAUAUUGCACAAUGGGGGAAACCCUGAUGCAGCGACGCCGCAUGUGGGAAGACGGUCCUCUGGAUUGUAAACCACUGUCCCCAGGGACGAAGAUGACGGUACCUGGGGAGGAAGCUCAGGCUAACUACGUGCCAGCAGCCGCGGUAAGACGGCGGGAGCGAGCGUGGUCCGGAAUUACUGGGUGUAAAGGGAGCGUAGGCGGGACUGCAAGGUGGGUGGCCAAUCGCCCGGCUCAACCGGUAGCCGCACUCAAAACUGCAGUUCUUGCGUGGAGUAGAGGCAGGCGGAAUGCCUAGUGUAGCGGUGAAAUGCGUCGAUAUUAGGAGGAACACCAGUGGCGACGGCGGCCUGCUGGGCUUUUACUGACGCUGAGGCUCGAAAGUGUGGGGAGCAAACAGGAUUAGAUACCCCAGUAGUC